rnacentral:rRNA from 1 species
AGAGUUUGAUUCGUGGCUCAGGACGAACGCUGGCGGCGUGCUUAACACAUGCAAGUCGAACGAUGACGAUGGUGCUUGCACCGUCUGAUUAGUGGCGAACGGGUGAGUAACACGUGAGUAACCUGCCCUCCUCUUCGGGAUAACCGCCGGAAACGGUGGCUAAUACCGGAUAUGAAUGUCUGCCGCAUGGUGGGUGUUGGAAAGAUUUAUCGGUGGGGGAUGGACUCGCGGCCUAUCAGUUUGUUGGUGAGGUAAUGGCUCACCAAGGCGAUGACGGGUAGCCGGCCUGAGAGGGCGACCGGCCACACUGGGACUGAGACACGGCCCAGACUCCUACGGGAGGCAGCAGUGGGGAAUAUUGCACAAUGGGCGAAAGCCUGAUGCAGCGACGCCGCGUGGGGGAUGACGGCCUUCGGGUUGUAAACCUCUUUCAGCAGGGAAGAAGCGAGAGUGACGGUACCUGCAGAAGAAGCGCCGGCUAACUACGUGCCAGCCGCCGC